GGAUGAACGCUGGCGGCGUGCCUAAUACAUGCAAGUCGAGCGAACAGACGAGGAGCUUGCUCCUCUGACGUUAGCGGCGGACGGGUGAGUAACACGUGGAUAACCUACCUAUAAGACUGGGAUAACUUCGGGAAACCGGAGCUAAUACCGGAUAAUAUAUUUAACCGCAUGGUUCAAUAGUGAAAGACGGUUUUGCUGUCACUUCUAGAUGUUUCCGCGCUGCAUUAGCUAGUUGGUAAGGUAACGGCUUACCAAGGCAACGAUGCGUAGCCGACCUGAGAGGGUGAUCGGCCACACUGGAACUGAGACACGGUCCAGACUCCUACGGGAGGCAGCAGUAGGGAAUCUUCCGCAAAGGGCGAAAGCCUGACGGAGCAACGCCGCGUGAGUGAUGAAGGUCUUCGGAUCGUAAAACUCUGUUAUUAGGGAAGAACAAAUGUGUAAGUAACUAUGCACGUCUUGACGGUACCUAAUCAGAAAGCCACGGCUAACUACGUG
rnacentral:rRNA from 1 species